GACGAACGCUGGCGGCGUGCUUAACACAUGCAAGUCGAACGGAAAGGCCCUGCUUUUGUGGGGUGCUCGAGUGGCGAACGGGUGAGUAACACGUGAGUAACCUGCCCUUGACUUUGGGAUAACUUCAGGAAACUGGGCUUAAACCGGGAAAGGGCCUCCUCCGGCUGGGGGGGGGUGGGAAGGUUCGGCGGUUGGGGGUGGACUCGCGGCUUAUCAGCUUGUUGGUGGGGUAGUGGCUUACCAAGGCUUUGACGGGUAGCCGGCCUGAGAGGGUGACCGGCCACAUUGGGACUGAGAUACGGCCCAGACUCCUACGGGAGGCAGCAGUGGGGAAUAUUGCACAAUGGGCGGAAGCCUGAUGCAGCAACGCCGCGUGCGGGAUGACGGCCUUCGGGUUGUAAACCGCUUUCGCCUGUGACGAAGCGUGAGUGACGGUAAUGGGUAAAGAAGCACCGGCUAACUACGUG
rnacentral:rRNA from 1 species